rnacentral:lncRNA from 10 species
UUUCUUUCUUUUUUUCUUUCUCUCUUUCUUUCUUUCUCUCUUUCUUCUUUCACUCUCUCUCUCUCCCUCCUUCCUCCUCCCUCCCUCUCUCCUUCCCUGCCUCUCUCCCCCCCCGUCUCGUCUCAUCUCUUCUCUCUCUCUCUCUUUCUUUCUUCCUCUCUCUCUCUCUUCCUUCCUUCCUCUUCCUUUUGUUUUGUUUCUUUCCUUUCCUUUUUUGCUUCUUUCCUUCUUUCUUUCUUCCCUCCUUCCCUCUCUUCCUUUCCUUUCCUUUCUCUCUUUCUUCUUUUUGUUUCUCUUGCCAUGUGACAUGCCUGGUUUCACUUUACCUUCCACCAUUUUUGUAAGCUUCCUAAGGGCCUGACCAGAAGCAGAUGCUGGCACCAUACUUCCUAUACAGCCUGCAGAACAGUGAUCCAAUUAAACCUCUUUUCCUUAUACAUUACCCAGCCUCAGGUACAUCUUUAUAGCGGUGCUAUAAAGGUGCUAUAAAAAUGCAAGAAUGAAAGAACACAGAAAAUUGGUACCAAAAGUAGAUUGUUGAUGUAAGGAUAAUGCAAAUGUGAAAGCAGCUUUGGAACUGGGUAAAAAGUACAGGUUUGAAGAGCUUAGAGGGCUCAGAAGAAGACAGACAGAUGAGGGAAAGUUUGGAGCUUCCUGGGGACUGGUCAGCUGGUUGUGACCAAGAUGCUGAUAGAGAUACGGACAGUGAAGUCCAGGCUGCUGAGGUCUCAGAUGGAAUGAGAUAGUUAUUGGGAACUGGAGCAAAGUUCACCCUUGUGAUGCCUUAGUAAAAAGCUUGGCUGAAUUCUUUUCAUGCCCUAGAGAUCUGUGGAAGUUUGAAAUUUAAUUACUGCACCAUUGGGUUUAGGACUUGUGUGGGGCCUGUUCUUUUGGUUGUUUUCUCCCUUUUGGAAUGGUAAUGUUUACCCAAGGCCUGUACCACCAUUGCAUCUUAGGUGUAAAUAACUUGUUUAGAUUCUACAGGCUCAUAGGUGACAGGAGGUUAGUCUCAGAUGAGACUUAGGAUGUUAAACUUGAUGCUGGAACGACUUAGAACUUUGGGGGAUUAUUGAGAAGGGAUUAUUGCAUUUUGCAAUGUGAGAAAGGCAUGAGAUUUGGUGGGCCAGGGGUGGAAUUAUAUACUUUUAAUAUUUGUCCCAUCCAAAUCUUAUGUUGAAAUGUAGCUGCCAGUGUUGAGGUGGGCCUAGUGGGAGGUGUUUGGGUCAUGGGGCCACGUGGAUCCUUCGUGAAUAAAUUGGUGCUGCCCUCAUGACAAUGAGUUGUUGCUCCCAGUUCAUGUGAGACUGGUUGUUUAAAAGAGUGUGGCACUUUCCACCUCUCUCUCUCCUACUCUCACCAUGUGACAUGCCUGCUCCUCAUUCACAUUCCACCAUAAUUGUAAGCUUCUUGAGUCCCUCACCAGCAGCAGAUACUGGCACCAGAUUUCCUGUAGAGCCUGCAUAACCAUGAGCCAAUUAAACCUCUUUUCUUUAUGGAUUACCCAAGCUCAGAUUGAGCUAUAAAACCAUGACAAGUGCAUGGAGCAGCUAUUUGAGCACCAGGAAAGGAAAUGGUACGCAGCAGUUUGGGAUGGCCCCAGCAGAUGAAAUACAACAGAGUCAGUGUGAGACUGCUGGAUUUCCUCACUGUCCCCUGGCUGGGACUCCAGACAGCCCCAAACCUGAAGGGGCACAAACCUGAAAACAAAAAGAAGUCCAGAAAGCCCUCUUGUUCAGGAUCGAACUUGGGAAAGAAAACUUAUUUGGCUCAAAGUGAAGGCUCAGUCCCCUGCACAAGCAGGUGGUUCACACCUGUGUUCUCAUCUCUCUUAUACCAGCGCCUCUCCCUGGGUUCACACUGAUGUCCUAUGGAUGGAGACGGGGCUUCCUGCACCAGGUCACUCCACAGCCCCUGUAACCUGAAGCCCUGCAGACCAGCCUUGUUCAAUCACAAUGUGAUGUGAGCCUCAUGGGAAUCCCACUGUCUAGUCAUCAUGUUAUAAAUACAAAGAGAAGAAGUCAAUGAGUUUAAAUAAUGUAUUUUAUUUACCUAGCAUAUCAAAAAGAGUAUCAUUUUCAUAUAUAAUCU